rnacentral:rRNA from 1 species
UACGAAGGGGGCUAGCGUUGCUCGGAAUCACUGGGCGUAAAGCGCACGUAGGCGGCUUUCUAAGUCAGGGGUGAAAUCCUGGAGCUCAACUCCAGAACUGCCUUUGAUACUGGAGGGCUUGAGUCCGGGAGAGGUGAGUGGAACUCCGAGUGUAGAGGUGAAAUUCGUAGAUAUUCGGAAGAACACCAGUGGCGAAGGCGGCGAUCUGGGUCGAUACUGACGCUGAGGUGCGAAAGCGUGGGGAGCAAACAGG